CACACAUAUAUAUAUGACAACAAAAAAAACAUGCUUGAUAUAUAUAAAAAAUCAUGCAAUAUAAUUUUCCUACAUAAUAAAGCAAACCCAAAUAUAUGCUGUUUAUACCAUAUUAGGGCCUCGUAUUUAGAUCUCGUAUAAAUACUUGGAGGACUUAAAUGUAAUUAUAUGAUAAAGGAAGAGGCAAAUAUGUAAUAAGUGAGAGUCCUUAUUCUAUAAAAGGACCCCUCACCCUCACAAUUGGGGGAGGCCAAUUCCAAGGCCCUCUCACCCCCUCUCAAAGCUCUCCCUCUCAGAGCUCUCUCUCUCUUAAAUAAAUACAUAAUCAGUGUGGACGUAGCCCAAACCUUGGGGUGAACCACGAUACAUCUUGUGUUAUUUACGUUUCAUGCAGAUUCACAGUCGGAUUUACGUUGUUCCAAGAUCUCCGGUCUUGUGCAUCAACAUUUGGCGCCGUCUGUGGGAAUCGAUACGAAAACUUGUGUCGGUUCUCUUUCAUUUUUUCACCUCCGCCGUGAAUCUGCAUAAACCCAGGAACCAAAGUCAUUGCAAAACCCAAGAGACAACCAAAACUCUCUCUGCCUCUGCCUCUCUCUUGCUUCUGAUCUCUUUCACUUUUUCAAACAAAACACCACAACCUCUCUCUUUCUUUCUUUAUCUCUCUCUAAAAAUCUAGUUUUUCUCUCUCCGAAAAACAAGAAAAAGAAGAAGAAAAGGUAAAUCUGAAGCAAGACCAGCUCGUCGAUCACGCCGCCUUCCUCUUAAAAUGCAAUCAGGAAAUCUUCGACCCGGGGACUCUGUCGUCCACUCUAGGAACUAGGAAGCUGUGCCCUCCACUCUAGGAACCAGCAAGCCCAGGCUUUCACCAAGCUCCAUGGCCCAACUCCCAGCUUGAAUGGGCAGGCAAGAAAAGAGCCUCAUCGGACCCGGCCAAUUUGAGACAAAACUAGCUUAAAUGGGCAGGCAAGAAAAGAGCCUCAUCUAUUCGUUUGAUUUACGCAAUGUCGGCUCCGGCGCCGUCGACCAGCACGACCUCGCUGCCACCGCCCAUAGCUCCGGCUCCUUCUGCGCCUACGUCGCCAUCUCCUCCAGCUGCUGGUUGCUAUAUAAAGACGGCUAGAGAUGGUAGAGCAUCACUCUUACAGACAUAGAGACGACUUUUGAUGGUAGAGCCGGAAAACGGCGUCGUCAAACCCAACCCAGCGGCAUUUGGUUGCAGAUACAGGAACAAAAAUGGCCGAGUCUAUUGAGAAGGCUUUCUCCAUCACCAAAUUCACGGUUCGUUUGUAAGGACCGAACCACUUGUUCUGCAUAUAAUGAUUCUUCCGCCACGGAGGCACGGAGAGAUUCGUACUCCUCAACGAUCUCUUUGCCACGUCGCUUGUGAUCCGCACGAUCCGCUUCAGGCUUGUCAAAACGUUUCCUGGGCUGCAGUACUUGGAUGGUUUCCCUCAUGUGAAGGUUGUGUUGCGCGCUGAUGUGUCCAGUGGGACGUAUGACAAAGUUGUGAUUAUAUCAGGCAGUUGCAGUUGCAGCGAUGAUGGUGGAAGCACAAGGACCGUUAUCGAUCGAAACGCAGUGGAAGGGGAACGAUUCAGUGGGACAUAGGAGAAUGUCCCCAGUGCAGUUGCCUAAAAUCAGUUCAAGAAGACCAGAUCGACAGUAGAGAGGAAGAAGAUAAGCUUUCUCAAUAAUCAGUCUAUUAUUAUUCCUUUUGUUUGCCAUCUGCCAAAGGAAGGAAAGAAAGAAAGAAAAAACAAAAAAGCAAAAAAUAAGACACAGUGGAAAGAUAAGAGAAUAAAAUCUGAGAUUGGGAUUUGACUGAGCACAUGCAUGACAGCAGCGCAGAGACAUAGAUAGAGAGAGAGGUGCGGUGGAAAAGAAAAAGCAGAAAGCAAAAGCAAGGAAUAAACACCCCACCAGAAUGAUGUGAUUUACUUUUCUUGUUUCUGAAUGAUGUAAUUUAUUUUCCGUAUCUUUCGGAAACAUCUGUAUAAACCCCAUCAGAGGGUAAAAAAAAAAAAAAAAACAGCAAAGCCCAAAAUAAAUGGGCUACCAUGUUGUGAAGGGCGAAGGCCCAUGAGCCCAAAAUAGUACCAACCAGGUGACCAAAAGUACGCCCAGUACUCCAAAAUUAUUCGGCAACCUGCCACUAUUACCACCAACCAGGUGAUGAAAUGUACAACCCGUACUCCAAUAUCAUUUGGCAACUAGCCAUUCAUGCCACCAACCAGGUGAUGAAAUAUACAACCCGUACUCUCCUUCAUGCCACCAACCAGGUGAUCAAAAGUACGCCCAGUACUCCAAAUUAUACAUGAGCAUUACUCAUGUCAUUCAUACAUAAACAUUCAUAAGCAUCAUUCAUGAAAAUCAUACAUAAACAUUCAUGACCAUCAUUCAUAUCAACAUUCAUGAGCAUCACUCAUGACAACAUCCAUAAGCAUCACUCAUGUCAAUCAACAUAAACAUUCAUGAGCAUCACUCAUGUCAAUCAACUUCAAAAGCUUCAUUUACAAAGCUCUAGCUUCAAAAGCUUCAUUUACAGAGCUCUAACUCCAAAAGCUUCAUUUACAGAGCUCUAGCUUCAAAAGCUUCAUUUACAGAGCUUUAGCUUCAAAAGCUUCAUUUACAAAAGCUCCAGCUUCGAAAGCUUCAUUUACAGAGCUAUAGCUUCAAAGCUUCACCUGCAAAGCUUCAGUGCAAGGUAUACAAAUAUCGCCUCCGAACAACCACCAUUUCGGCCCAUACAUGGAUUCAAUUUGAACAGACUCUAUUGACCGAAGACUUGAGGGACUACACUAUAGACCAUAUAUUGGGCCUCAACUGGGCCUCAUGAAAAAUACUUGGGGGACUUAGCCCAUCAUUUAUGUAUUGAGGAGCAAACCCUUAUUUUAUAAAAGAGACUCCCUCACCUUCAUUAGAGAGCAACGCCGCCAGCUGAGCAACUACCUCGCCGCGAGCAUCACUCAUAGCCCAUCACUUAUGUAUUAAGGAGCGAUCCCUUAUUUUAUAAAAGGGACUCCCUCACCUUCAUAAGAGAGCAACGCCGCCAACUGAGCAACCGCCUAGCCGCGAGCAUCACUCCUAACCCAUCACUUAUGUAUUAAGGAGCGAGCCCUUAUUCUAUAAAAGGGACUCCCUCACCAUCAUUAGAGAGCAUCAACUCUAGCCCAUCAUUCAUGUAUUGAGGAGUGAGCCCUUAUUCUAUAAAAGGGACUCCCUCACCGUCAACGUCACAAGCCGAGCCAACCAAAGCAACAUAAACCACGAGCCGAGUAACCUCGCAACAUGUGCUACUUCUAGUUGAACAUCAUUUUAGAUUGAGUAUCGCCUCAUAUCGAACAUCAGCUCAAGACAACAUCUAGUUGCUUCGGCCCACACAUGGAUUGAAUUUUAAGUCUCCAGCCAAAAGACUCUCUUGACUGAAGACCUGGGGGACUACUGUUUAUACCAUAUUUAGGGCCUCGUAUUUAGAUAUCGUACAAAUACUUAGGGACUUAAAUGUAAUUAUGUGAUAAAGGAAGGGGCAAAUAUAUAAUAAGUGAUGAGUCCUUAUUCUAUAAAAGGACCUUUCACCCUCACAAUUGGGGGAGGCCAAUUCCAAGGCCCUCUCACCCCUUCUCAAAGCUCUCUCUCUCAGAGCUCUCUCUCUCUCAAAUAAAUACAUAAUCAGUGUGGACGUAGCCCAAACCUUGGGGUGAACCACGAUACAUCUUGUGUUAUUUACGUUUCAUGCAGAUUCACGGUCGGAUUUACGUUGUUCCAAGAUCUCCG
rnacentral:lncRNA from 1 species